UAACACAUGUGCACGCUCACUGCCAUUUCUUCGCAAAAGUAAGGAGAGAAGUAACUGAUGAUCUCCUAUCUGCUUUCCGGGCCACAAUCACACGGGUAUGACAGCUCUGGGAACAACGACAUCUGCAAGCACUGAACCUUACUGAUGUGCAAGCCAGCAGAUCUCCCAAGAUCUUCAGCAGGCGGAAAACAAGUUACUGUGUUCACCAGUAUGGCUGAAGAACUGUGCUCACGGAACUUGGACCCUUUUGUUUGUCAUCACUGGAAACUGUUAUUUGUUUACUUUCUACUUUGAACCUCUGCAUAAGAUGCAACAGAGAGAAUUCUGGGAGUUUGCAAUUCCAAAUGAACAUGCAGAAAGGAACCAGCCACAGCCCCCAGGAGGCUCAAGGGCACAGAACACUGCUGAUCCCUCCUUGCUCCUUGUUCAGACCCUCCGGUGACUAAAGAGUUGUGAGGUGAAUUUACGUGAGAAAAUAUGCUGGACCA